rnacentral:tRNA from 1 species
GAGCGUGUAGCUCAGGGGCAGAGCACGUGCUUAGCACCCACGAGGUCCUGGGUUCAGUCCCCAGCCCCUCCA